rnacentral:rRNA from 1 species
UACGUAGGGUGCGAGCGUUAAUCGGAAUUACUGGGCGUAAAGCGCGUGUAGGCGGCUAAGUAAGUCGGGCGUGAAAUCCCACGGCUCAACCGUGGAAGUGCACUCGAAACUGCGUAGCUAGAGUCCUGGAGAGGAAGGUGGAAUGCUUGGUGUAGAGGUGAAAUUCGUAGAUAUCAAGCGGAACACCGGUGGCGAAGGCGGCCUUCUGGACAGUGACUGACGCUGAGACGCGAAAGCGUGGGGAGCAAACAGG